rnacentral:rRNA from 1 species
CUUGCACAGAAUGAUUAGUGGCGAACGGGUGAGUAACACGUGAGUAACCUGCCCUUAACUUCGGGAUAAGCCUGGGAAACUGGGUCUAAUACCGGAUACGACCAUCUGGCGCAUGCCAUGGUGGUGGAAAGCUUUAUGCGGUUUUGGAUGGACUCGCGGCCUAUCAGCUUGUUGGUUGGGGUAAUGGCCCACCAAGGCGACGACGGGUAGCCGGCCUGAGAGGGUGACCGGCCACACUGGGACUGAGACACGGCCCAGACUCCUACGGGAGGCAGCAGUGGGGAAUAUUGCACAAUGGGCGAAAGCCUGAUGCAGCGACGCCGCGUGAGGGAUGACGGCCUUCGGGUUGUAAACCUCUUUCAGCAGGGAAGAAGCGAAAGUGACGGUACCUGCAGAAGAAGCGCCGGCUAACUACGUGCCAGCAGCCGCGGUAAUACGUAGGGCGCAAGCGUUAUCCGGAAUUAUUGGGCGUAAAGAGCUCGUAGGCGGUUUGUCGCGUCUGCUGUGAAAGCCCGGGGCUCAACCCCGGGUCUGCAGUGGGUACGGGCAGACUAGAGUGCAGUAGGGGAGACUGGAAUUCCUGGUGUAGCGGUGAAAUGCGCAGAUAUCAGGAGGAACACCGAUGGCGAAGGCAGGUCUCUGGGCUGUAACUGACGCUGAGGAGCGAAAGCAUGGGGAGCGAACAGGAUUAGAUACCCUGGUAGUCCAUGCCGUAAACGUUGGGCACUAGG